GGGGGCGUAACUGGUUUCGACGGGAAAGAUUUUUAAAGGUGCAAAGCGUGUGGUAGGCAGUUACCUUAAAAAGCAAACAAAAUAAACGCAAAUAAUAACAAACUUGCUGUUGCAGCGUAGUCUCACAGCUGUCCGCGUUAGAACUCUCGCGAACUAACAAAGGGCAUUAACUUAGCGGGGAACAUUUAAUUGUUGUGCCAAUAAGCAGUUAAAGGAAUUUCAUUGGCUAGCAAAUUUAAUUUUUGUAUGUUUUAAUUGAUUUGCGAAAUUUCAAAGCAUACUGCACACGGAGAAAAGCCUUGUAAAACUUUUUCGGACGAGGGUUCAAUUCCCUCCGUCUCCACCA
rnacentral:sRNA from 2 species